AGAACAACGAAACAAAGAAACCGCCACAGAACGAAAGGCCGAAUAAAUAAACGAAUGAAACAUUCAACCUAAACAGAAUCGAAAUCAAAUAUAACCAUCUCACAACGUCAGAUAACGCAUAUAGUCAGGAAAGUCACGCAGGACCAAUCAUGUAACACCCAGUCAGUUAAUAAAUAAAUGUAACCAAAGUAGAAUCAAAGCAACCAAGGCAGCAGGUAACUAGCAGAAAGGAGAUAUAAAAGAAAAGAAGAGAAAAGAAACAAACAAGGAACAGCACACCGUCAUCAAAGAGCUAUACUAUUAUCGAAGAGAAACAGCUUGAAUAAAUUGAAUUAAAGAAUACCAGAGAAGAAUAUCAAAAUGUCAAAAUGUCCAAGGAAUGUCCAAGGAUAGAGAACUUUGUACCAUCGUGAGUCAAAAUAAACUAAAUCUUAACAGUUACCUUGAUUCAAUUUAAUUCAGAAUGAAUGAACAAUGACAGCAUGAAAUGAACGACUGAACAAUGAAAUAAUCAAUUAAAGAUAUUAAGAAGAAUGAGGUAAAUAAUGAGGUAAAUAAUAAAUAAUAAGCAUAAAGUAAAAGUGAGGGCCGUAACCAACCUAAUGUAAAUAAUGUAAUGUAAUGCACUGUAAUAUAAGUAAUUCAAUAUAAUGCAAAACAGAAUGCAAUAAUAAACUGAAUACAAAAUACAAAAUACAAGAAGUGAAUUCAAUAGAUAUAACCGUAAAGAUUAUUAACUACAAUACUCUAUUUCUUUACCAGAGUAGAUUAUAAGUUAGACUGUAACUGGUAAAUGGUAGAUGAUAAAUGGUCAUGUCAAUACAACUGCAAAUAGAACUAAUUAAUGAAUGACAUAUCAAAAUAGAGUAGCUAAAGCAACAAAUAGAUGAAUCAAAUAUAAAGUACGCAGAUCAAUAAACACUAUACCAGUGUAUAAACUGAAAUAAGACUAAAUGAAAUAAAGUAAAAUAGAAUAAUAAAUAAGUAAAUAAAUAAGAGUUCUUGAAUGAUAAGAUUAUAAUAAAAUUCACGCACAAUCAAAGCAUUUGGAUGGACAAAACCACUUAUCAUUGUAGAGAAGGCAAAACUUAAUUAAAAUAAAGUAGUAUAAAUCAUAUCCAUUAACUUUAAUUGAUCAGAAUGAAUGAGUGAAUGAGUGAAUGAAUAAUGAAUAAUGAAUAAUGAAUAAUGAAUGAAUGGAUGGAACGAUUAAGGAAAUUAAAGAUUAAGGAAAAUAAAGAAGGUAAGAAGGCGUAAGUGAAAGCAAGAAAGCAGGAAUGUGUCAGAACGAAUAAACAA